rnacentral:rRNA from 1 species
CCUACGGGGAGCAGCAGUGAGGAAUAUUGGUCAAUGGACGAGAGUCUGAACCAGCCAAGUAGCGUGAAGGAUGACUGCCCUAUGGGUUGUAAACUUCUUUUAUAUGGGAAUAAAACGUUCCACGUGUGGGAUUUUGUAUGUACCAUAUGAAUAAGGAUCGGCUAACUCCGUGCCAGCAGCCGCGGUAAUACGGAGGAUCCGAGCGUUAUCCGGAUUUAUUGGGUUUAAAGGGAGCGUAGGUGGAUUGUUAAGUCAGUUGUGAAAGUUUGCGGCUCAACCGUAAAAGUGCAGUUGAAACUGGCAGUCUUGAGUACAGUAGAGGUGGGCGGAAUUCGUGGUGUAGCGGUGAAAUGCUGAGAUAUCACGAAGAACUCCGAUUGCGAAGGCAGUUCACUGGACUGCAACUGACACUGAGGCUCGAAAGUGUGGGUAUCAAACAGGAUUAGAUACCCUGGUAGUC